GACGAACGCUGGCGGCGUGCCUAAUACAUGCAAGUCGAACGCUGAAGGAGGAGCUUGCUCUUCUGGAUGAGUUGCGAACGGGUGAGUAACGCGUAGGUAACCUGCCUGGUAGCGGGGGAUAACUAUUGGAAACGAUAGCUAAUACCGCAUAACAGUAGAUGUUGCAUGACAUUUGCUUAAAAGGUGCAAUUGCACCACUACCAGAUGGACCUGCGUUGUAUUAGCUAGUUGGUGGGGUAACGGCUCACCAAGGCGACGAUACAUAGCCGACCUGAGAGGGUGAUCGGCCACACUGGGACUGAGACACGGCCCAGACUCCUACGGGAGGCAGCAGUAGGGAAUCUUCGGCAAUGGACGGAAGUCUGACCGAGCAACGCCGCGUGAGUGAAGAAGGGUGUCGGAUCGUAAAGCUCUGUUGUAAGAGAAGAACGAGUGUGAGAGUGGAAAGUUCACACUGUGACGGUAGCUUACCAGAAAGGGACGGCUAACUACGUG
rnacentral:rRNA from 1 species